AAUCCUUUGUCCCUGAGUGAGAAU
rnacentral:miRNA from 1 species